GACGAACGCUGGCGGCGUGCUUAACACAUGCAAGUCGAGCGGUAAGGCCCUUUCGGGGGUACACGAGCGGCGAACGGGUGAGUAACACGUGGGUGACCUGCCCUCAGCUCUGGGAUAAGCCCGGGAAACUGGGUCUAAUACUGGAUAUGACUCCACGGUGCAUGCCGUGGGGUGGAAAGCCUUGUGCGGCUGAGGAUGGGCCCGCGGCCUAUCAGCUUGUUGGUGGGGUGAUGGCCUACCAAGGCGACGACGGGUAGCCGGCCUGAGAGGGCGACCGGCCACACUGGGACUGAGACACGGCCCAGACUCCUACGGGAGGCAGCAGUGGGGAAUAUUGGACAAUGGGCGAAAGCCUGAUCCAGCGACGCCGCGUGGGUGAAGAAGGCCUGCGGGUUGUAAAGCCCUUUCAGUGGGGAAGAAAAGCCUCGAGCUAACACCUCGGGUCUUGACGUAACCAUAAGAAGAAGCACCGGCUAACUCUGUGCCA
rnacentral:rRNA from 1 species